rnacentral:rRNA from 1 species
CCUACGGGUGGCAGCAGUGAGGAAUAUUGGUCAAUGGCCGGAAGGCUGAACCAGCCAUGCCGCGUGAAGGUCAGUGCCCUAUGGGCGUUAAACUUCUUUUGUGCGGGAGCAAUAAUGGUCACGUGUGGCCAGACGAGAGUACCGUACGAAUAAGCAUCGGCUAACUCCGUGCCAGCAGCCGCGGUAAUACGGGGGAUGCAAGCGUUAUCCGGAUUUAUUGGGUUUAAAGGGUGCGUAGGCUGUGAGGUAAGUCAGCGGUGAAAUGCCCCCGCUCAACGGGGUGAAGUGCCAUUGAUACUGCCUGGCUGGAAUGCGGAUGCGGUGGGAGGAAUGUGUGGUGUAGCGGUGAAAUGCAUAGAGAUCACACAGAACACCGAUUGCGAAGGCAUCUCACGAAGCCGCGAUUGACGCUGAUGCACGAAAGCGUGGGUAUCAAACAGGAUUAGAUACCCGAGUAGUC